AUGAACUUAAGUGGAUUACGUGGCGCACACGGGUGAGUAACACGUGAGUAACCUGCCUUACACAAGGGGAUAGCCUCUGGAAACGGAGAAUAAUACCCUAUAAAGUCUAAUCAGCCCAUGCUGGAAAGACCAAAGAUUUAUCGGUCGUAAGAUGGACUUGCGUCUGAUUAGCUAGUUGGUGAGAUAAAAGCCCACCAAGGCAACGAUCAGUAGCCGGCUUGAGCAGAGUGUACGGCCACAUUGGGACUGAGACACGGCCCAAACUCCUACGGGAGGCAGCAGUGGGGAAUUUUGCACAAUGGGGGAAACCCUGAUGCAGCGACGCCGCGUGAUUUAGAAGGCCUUCGGGUUGUAAAAAUCUUUUUUAUGGGAUGAAAAUGACAGUACCAUAAGAAUAAGGUCCGGCUAAAUACGUGCCAGCAGCCGCGGUAAUACGUAUGGACCGAGCGUUGUCCGGAAUCAUUGGGCGUAAAGGGUACGUAGGCGGCCUAGUAAGUUAGAAGUGAAAUAAUAUAGCUCAACUAUAUAAAGCGUUUUAAAACUGUUAGGCUUGAGAGAUGAAAGGGAAAGUGGAAUUCCUAGUGUACGGUGAAAUGCGCAGAUAUUAGGAAGAAUACCAGUGGCGAAGGCGACUUUCUGGUCAUCCUCUGACGCUGAGGUACGAAAGCGUGAGUAGUAAACAGGAUUAGAUACCCUGGUAGUCCACGCUGUAAACGAUGAGUGUUAGGUUCUUGGAAUAUCUGGGAGCCGCAGCUAACGCAUUAAACACUCCCCUGGGGAGUACGCACGCA
rnacentral:rRNA from 1 species